rnacentral:rRNA from 1 species
UACAGGGGGUGCAAACGUUGCUCGGAAUCAUUGGGCGUAAAGGGCGCGUAGGCGGUCAGCACAAGUCAGUUGUGAAAUCUCCGGGCUUAACUCGGAAAGGUCAACUGAUACUGUGCGACUAGAGUGCGGAAGGGGCAACUGGAAUUCUCGGUGUAGCGGUGAAAUGCGUAGAUAUCGAGAGGAACACCUGCGGCGAAGGCGGGUUGCUGGGCCGACACUGACGCUGAUGCGCGAAAGCCAGGGGAGCGAACGGG